rnacentral:rRNA from 1 species
CUACGGGCGGCUGCAGUGGGGAAUAUUGGACAAUGGGCGAAAGCCUGAUCCAGCCAUGCCGCGUGUGUGAAGAAGGCCUUCGGGUUGUAAAGCACUUUCAGUGGGGAAGAAAGCCUUGGGGCUAAUACCCUCGAGGAAGGACAUCACCCACAGAAGAAGCACCGGCUAACUCCGUGCCAGCAGCCGCGGUAAUACGGAGGGUGCGAGCGUUAAUCGGAAUUACUGGGCGUAAAGCGCGCGUAGGCGGUCUGAUAAGCCGGUUGUGAAAGCCCCGGGCUCAACCUGGGAACGGCAUCCGGAACUGUCAGGCUAGAGUGCAGGAGAGAAAGGUAGAAUUCCCGGUGUAGCGGUGAAAUGCGUAGAGAUCGGGAGGAAUACCAGUGGCGAAGGCGGCCUUCUGGACUGACACUGACGCUGAGGUGCGAAAGCGUGGGUAGCAAACAGGAUUAGAUACCCCAGUAGUC